rnacentral:rRNA from 1 species
ACGGGAGGCAGCAGUGGGGAAUAUUGGGCAAUGGGCGAAAGCCUGACCCAGCAACGCCGCGUGAAGGAAGAAGGCCUUCGGGUUGUAAACCUCUUUUAUCAGGGACGAAGGAAGUGACGGUACCUGAUGAAUAAGCCACGGCUAACUACGUGCCAGCAGCCGCGGUAAUACGUAGGUGGCGAGCGUUAUCCGGAUUUACUGGGUGUAAAGGGCGCGUAGGCGGGACGGCAAGUCAGAUGUGAAAUCUAUGGGCUUAACCCAUAAACUGCAUUUGAAACUGUCGUUCUUGAGUGCUGGAGAGGUAGACGGAAUUCCUUGUGUAGCGGUGAAAUGCGUAGAUAUAAGGAAGAACACCAGUGGCGAAGGCGGUCUACUGGACAGUAACUGACGCUGAGGCGCGAAAGCGUGGGGAGCAAACAGGAUUAGAUACCCUGGUA